AUCAAACCUGGAGAUAGCUGGUUCUCCCCGAAAGCUAUUUAGGUAGCGCCUCGGACGAAUACUACUGGGGGUAGAGCACUGUUAAGGCUAGGGGGUCAUCCCGACUUACCAACCCUUUGCAAACUCCGAAUACCAGUAAGUACUAUCCGGGAGACACACGGCGGGUGCUAACGUCCGUCGUGGAGAGGGAAACAACCCAGACCGCCAGCUAAGGUCCCA
rnacentral:rRNA from 1 species